ensembl:lncRNA
UGUUUGUUUCUGUGUAUUUUUUCUCCAAAGAGUUGCUGACUUUGGGGGAAAAGAUAUCCCAUGACGAUCAGGAUCAACCUGCUUUGGCCACAUCUCUCACCAAGGCAUACAGAGAGCCACUUCAGGCUGCUGUCUGCACGAGGGAGGUUUGAUCUUUCAAAACUUGCUUUGUCAGAAUCCCUUUGCAAGAGAAGAGCAGUGAUUAAUGUUGAUGCCAAUUGCUGGAGAGGCCAUGGAACACCUGCCACUGCUUUCUUCCCACCAGCCAGCAAAGGAGGAAGGUGACUCAGGGAGCAGGGGCAGAAGCCCACUUGUGCAGCAGCACUCCAGAUCUGCCACGUUAGAAGUCCACAAAGACACAGCACCUUUCAGAAAAUGAGAGUUGUAAAGUGCUCCGGUGAUCCAAAGGAGCAGAGCUUCCCGCGGGCUGCCCUGCUGGCAACAGAAGUGGGAAAUGUGCGGGGAGAAUGAGGAAGAGGAGGAGAAUCAUCAGGUUUUAAGCUGAUCUUCCUUUCCCCAGAGAGCCGCUCUGGUUUCAGAUUUUUAUCUCUGGCAUAGUGGUGUAGAUCAGCUGAAAGCAGCAGGAUUUGCCCCUGCAGAGACGUGAGCGGCACUCAGGCGCACAGCCGCGGUAUGCGUGCACAUGAGAGCCAGGACUGAGCAGGAGGUCACCUUCUGAGCCAUGGAUGAGCCCAGGUGCUGAGUGCUCCGAAUGCCCAGCGCUGCAAGCUCAGCUGGGGCAAUGGAUGGAACCUCGCUGUGCAAGAGAGGGAGUGCCAUGUUUUGUGCUGCGGCUUUCUUGGAAGGAGAGCCUGCUGCAGCCCUGCUGCAGGGGAAUGUGGACCACAGCAGGAGGAAAUAGCCUCUGUUUCUCCUCCAGGCACUUUCCCUCUGUGUAACAAUCACCUCUUAAAGCCUCAAUGAAACAGGGUUAAAAAAAAAUAAAAGGAGAGAGCCAGAGCGACAGACCACCCAGGUCAGGGUGCGUUUAUCAGGCAUGCAUCACUCCGUGCAAUGUAAGGCUUCUCUGAGGCACUUCUGGGAGAUUUGACCAGCAAUAUGACUAACACAACACUUGGCAAAGCAAAGACUAAUAGUGUGAUUGUUCUGCCGGCUUCUCCCCUUCUCGAGUAAUAUCGUGCUGAGCAGCGUUCGAGUUAGAGAUCUGAAAGGCCUUUUCAUUAUUGUAUCGAAAACUCCUCUGACUGCAGAUCUCUUAAUCAAAGGACUUUUAUGUAAAGUCACAUUUUUUCCAAAACCAGAAAAGUUCAGGCUCAGAGCAUAAACAUUAGACUCAUUAUUUAGAAAUAGCAAGUAAGUCCUCUGGGUUCUGGUAUCAGAUCAAAGCUAAAAAAUUAAAUUGCUAAAAAAAAAAAGGAAAAAAAUAAGCUCAUUUUGGGGAUCAGCAUAUUUCUUGUUUGCUUUUUAUUAUGGAGCUAAAAAAAGGAAUAGUGAGAUUCUGUCGGUGGUUUUCAAGUGUUUUCCAAAACUGGAAGGGUGCUGCAUGCUGAGCACUUCCACAGUCUGUGGAGGCAGAAAAUAUUUUGUUGACAUGACAAUAAAACCAUUCUGCACUUAUCGCAUUGUUUUCCCCUCUGUUCAUAG